GUGCUUGCUUUGGAAGCACCUAAACUAAUAUUGGAAGGAUACCAAGAAGAUUAGUAUGAACCCUGAUUUAAAAAAAAAAAAUGGUAGCCAAGAGACUAAGCAUAGAUUG
rnacentral:snRNA from 1 species